GACGGAGCUGCGGGAUGCUGCGGGAAGCUGCGGGAUGCUGCGUGGAGCGGAUUACAGCAGAGCCUCACCCACACCCCCCCUCCUCCCUCUGAUGUGUGACAAUGGGGGUGUGACUUGAGUUAGAGCCGCUCUCACGGGAGCGCGCGUGGGGCACGCGCAUGGAGUGAAUUUUUCCCUGAAAGCGUAGGAUUGAAAUCCAGAGAACUUUUAACCUCUGGUUCUGGUUCUGACACCUUCAGCUCCACCAUCUUACCAUGUGGAUGUCUGGUUCUGGGUCUUUGAGUCGUUUUAAUUCUAGAGGUCCAAAUGCACAUCAAACUUUCAUCUGAGGUUUCAGGAGAGACUUCAAACAUGUCCGAAGCCCACUCCACUCCCUUCCUGAAACUCCCUCAAACUAAACCAUCCAGAGCCCCAGAACCUCAGGAAAGACACGGCCAGAACCACACCUCCCACCCGCCAACCCAAACCCAGUUGAGCUUUCCAGCUGCAGCAUCGGAGCUGGAAGCAGAUCUGGGAUCAAGAGAAUUCUGGAGUGGAGAAAAACCGCUUUGUGUUCUCCAGAUCAGGAAAUCAGUGGAUUCUCUUUGGGUUAAAGGUCAAAGGUGUCGCUGUGGAUCUAACAGAGACUUUGCUUUAAGUUUGUUUGGGUUGUUCACCUUCUCACAUGAAGCCAGGAUCUGCUGCGUUUCCACACGUCACUUUGGGAUCUUCAGACGGUGACCCAGUGUCAGACUCUGUCCCUGUCCUGGGACUGGCUGGCCUCCAGGAGAGGAGGCCCGCUGGUGAAGGUUCUGUUGGACCGGCUGGGACGCGUUCUGGAGCAGGUCCCCUAAGCUGAGUGGAGUUUAUGGCUUUCACCUGUGAUUCUGCAGCCGUAUGAGCUGAACCUGCAGCUGACGGCGGUUCUGUCCAGACUGUCAGCCUGCAGCCGUCCUCUGCUGCAGGAAUACCUGCUGGACCCCAACAUCCCCCUGUCUCCCUGCUCUCUGUCCUCAUCAGACCAUCCUUCAAGGGGAUGGGUGGGUUGAUGCAGAGGAUCCAGCAGAUUCAGAUCUGCAGACAGACUGUUGAACACCUGGAGAGACCUGCUGGGAAUGAGCCACAACUAUGGGUAGCUGCCUACCUGUCUGUCUACCUGUCUGUCUGUUUGGAGCAGGUAGGCCUUCAACGAGUCCUAUGACAGUGAAACAGUGAUGAAGAGGAUGCCUGACCUCUCUCCUGUGGGCGUGUCCUCAGACAGGAACACCUGACGUUGCUUAAAGGGAUCACUGUCCUGGAAGUCAUGCUUUAAAAAUAAAACUUUUCAAACAAUC